AACCGGUCUGGGUAACCAGACCGGCUGAAACCGGCGAACGGGUGAGUAACACGUGGGUAACGUGCCCCGGACACUGGGAUAACAACGGGAAACCGUUGCUAAUACCAGAUGACCCAGAUAUGUCGCAUGACAAGUCUGGCAAAGCUCCGGCGGUCUGGGAUCGGCCCGCGGUGUAUCAGCUUGUUGGUGGGGUAACGGCCUACCAAGGCGAUGACGCAUAGCUGGCGUGAGAGCGCGACCAGCCACACUGGGACUGAGACACGGCCCAGACUCCUACGGGAGGCAGCAGUAGGGAAUCUUGCACAAUGGGCGCAAGCCUGAUGCAGCGACGCCGCGUGUGGGAUGAAGGCUUUCGGG
rnacentral:rRNA from 1 species